AUUGAACGCUGGCGGCAGGCCUAACACAUGCAAGUCGAGCGGUUGACGGGAGCUUGCUCCCUGAUUCAGCGGCGGACGGGUGAGUAAUGCCUAGGAAUCUGCCUAUUAGUGGGGGACAACGUUUCGAAAGGAACGCUAAUACCGCAUACGUCCUACGGGAGAAGCAGGGGACCUUAGGGCCUUGCGCUAAUAGAUGAGCCUAGGUCGGAUUAGCUUGUUGGUGAGGUAAUGGCUCACCAAGGCGACGAUCCGUAACUGGUCUGAGAGGAUGAUCAGUCACCCUGGAACUGAGACACGGUCCAGACUCCUACGGGAGGCAGCAGUGGGGAAUAUUGGACAAUGGGCGAAAGCCUGAUCCAGCCAUGCCGCGUGUGUGAAGAAGGUCUUCGGAUUGUAAAGCACUUUAAGUUGGGAGGAAGGGUUGUAGAUUAAUACUCUGCAAUUUUGACGUUACCGACAGAAUAAGCACCGGCUAACUCUGUGCCAGCCGCCGCCGUAAAAC
rnacentral:rRNA from 1 species